CGGCGGACGGGUGAGUAACGCGUGGGUAACCUACCCUAUACACACGGAUAACAUACCGAAAGGUAUGCUAAUACGGGAUAAUAUAUUUGAGAGGCAUCUCUUGAAUAUCAAAGGUGAGCCAGUACAGGAUGGACCCGCGUCUGAUUAGCUAGUUGGUAAGGUAACGGCUUACCAAGGCGACGAUCAGUAGCCGACCUGAGAGGGUGAUCGGCCACAUUGGAACUGAGACACGGUCCAA
rnacentral:rRNA from 1 species